rnacentral:lncRNA from 1 species
ACUUGCCCACCGGGCACAGCUCAACUGGUGGAUCAAUCAACAUUGGCUUGCUUCCAGCGGUAGGGUGAAGAGUUCGAUUCCUGGUGGGAACCUGCGGCCAAAUAUUUGGUAUGGAGCAAUCACUGUAGAGGAGGGUCUCUUGUGCGCAGAAGUGUACAGUCAAUGGGGGAAACUUGUGAUCCAGUUGAGGCAUAACCCGCGAUUUACCCCCUCCAAGGUUCUAGGGGCAUGGGUCUUGGAGGUCCAUGAUUUAGUUUGGUGUAAGUUGGGA